GAUGAACGCUGGCGGCGUGCCUAAUACAUGCAAGUCGAACGAGACAGUUUACUGUCUAGUGGCGAACGGGUGAGUAAUACAUAAGUAACCUGCCUUUACCUGGGGGAUAACUAUUGGAAACGAUAGCUAAUACCGCAUAGGCAUAGAGAACACAUGUUCUUUAUAUUAAAGAUGCUACGGCAUCGGGAAGAGAUGGACUUAUGGCGCAUUAGCUAGUUGGUGAGGUAACGGCUCACCAAGGCGACGAUGCGUAGCCGACCUGAGAGGGUGACCGGCCACACUGGGACUGAGACACGGCCCAGACUCCUACGGGAGGCAGCAGUAGGGAAUUUUCGGCAAUGGGGGCAACCCUGACCGAGCAACGCCGCGUGAAGGAAGAAGGUUUUCGGAUUGUAAACUUCUGUUAUAAAGGAAGAAUGAUAUAUGGAGGGAAUGCCAUAUAAGUGACGGUACUUUAUGAGAAAGCCACGGCUAACUACG
rnacentral:rRNA from 1 species